GACGAACGCUGGCGGCGUGCCUAAUACAUGCAAGUCGAACGCAGUGGGGACGGGUGAGUAACACGUGGGUAACCUCCCAUCAGAGGGGAUAACACCUGGUAACAGGUGCUAAACCGAUACUGAUGGAUGGACCCGGGGUGCAUUAGCUAGUGGGUGGGGUAACGGUACACCAAGGCCACGAUGCAUAGCCGACCUGAGAGGGUGAGCGGCCACACGUGGACUGAGACACGGCCCAGAAUCCUACGGGAGGCAGCAGUAGGGAAUCUACGGCAAUGGGCGAAAGUCGGACAGAGCAACGCCGCGUGAGUGAAGAAGGUUUUCGGAUCGUAAAGCUCUGUUGUUAGAGAAGCGGUAUCUAACCAGAAAGCCACGGCUAACUACGUGCCAGCAGCCGCGGUAAUAC
rnacentral:rRNA from 1 species